CAGUAGCCGCGGGAAUACGGAGGGUGCAAGCGUUGCCCGGAAUUAUUGGGCGUAAAGGGUAGGUAGGUGGUCUUAUUUGUCUGGGGUGAAAGCCUUGAGCUUAACUCAAGAAGUGCCCCAGAAACGGUAAGACUCGAGUCUUGGAGAGGGUCGUGGAAUUCCCGGUGUAGCGGUGAAAUGCGUAGAGAUCGGGAGGAACACCAGAGGCGAAGGCGGCGACCUGGACAAGCACUGACACUCAACUACGAAAGCGUGGGGAGCAAACAGGAUUAGAGACCCCAGUAGUCCCUGUCUCUUAUAC
rnacentral:rRNA from 1 species